CCUACGGGCGGCAGCAACUAGGAAUUUUGCGCAAUGGGGGCAACCCUGACGCAGCGACACAGCGUGGAGGAGGAAGGUCUUCGGAUUGUAAACUCCUUUUAUAUGGGAAGAAUAGAUGACUGUACCAUAUGAAUAAGCACCUGCUAACUACGUGCCAGAAGCAUCGGUGAUGCGUAGGGUGCGAACGUUAUCCGGAUUUAUUGGGCGUAAAGAGAUGCGUAGGCGUUUCAGUUAGUCUUUCGUUAAAAGUCACGGCUUAACCGUGAAGAUGCGUUGGAUACUGCUGAAAUUGAGACAUGAAGGGGGGAACGGAACUCCAAGUGGAGCGGUGAAAUGCGUUGAUAUUUGGAAGAACAUCAGAGGCGAAGGCGGUUCACUGGUCAUUGUCUGACGCUAAGGCUCGAAAGCGUGGGUAGCAAAAC
rnacentral:rRNA from 1 species